AGAGUUUGAUCAUGGCUCAGAGCGAACGCUGGCGGCAGGCUUAACACAUGCAAGUCGAGCGGGCGUAGCAAUACGUCAGCGGCAGACGGGUGAGUAACGCGUGGGAACGUACCUUUUUGGUUCGGAACAACACAGGGAAACUUGUGCUAAUACCGGAUAAGCCCUUACGGGGAAAGAUUUAUCGCCGAAAGAUCGGCCCGCGUCUGAUUAGCUAGUUGGUGAGGUAAUGGCUCACCAAGGCGACGAUCAGUAGCUGGUCUGAGAGGAUGAUCAGCCACAUUGGGACUGAGACACGGCCCAAACUCCUACGGGAGGCAGCAGUGGGGAAUAUUGGACAACGGGCGCAAGCCUGAUCCAGCCAUGCCGCGUGAGUGAUGAAGGCCCUAGGGUUGUAAAGCUCUUUUGUGCGGGAAGAUAAUGACGGUACCGCAAGAAUAAGCCCCGGCUAACUUCGUGCCAGCAGCCGCGGUAAUACGAAGGGGGCUAGCGUUGCUCGGAAUCACUGGGCGUAAAGGGUGCGUAGGCGGGUCUUUAAGUCAGGGGUGAAAUCCUGGAGCUCAACUCCAGAACUGCCUUUGAUACUGAGGAUCUUGAGUUCGGGAGAGGUGAGUGGAACUGCGAGUGUAGAGGUGAAAUUCGUAGAUAUUCGCAAGAACACCAGUGGCGAAGGCGGCUCACUGGCCCGAUACUGACGCUGAGGCACGAAAGCGUGGGGAGCAAACAGGAUUAGAUACCCUAGUAGUCC
rnacentral:rRNA from 1 species